GGCUGGGUGGCGUAGUUGGUUAUCGCAUCUGUCUAACAUUCAACGGUUUCCACCAGAGAAUACGAUCACAGAAGGCCCCAGGUUCGAGCCCUGGUCUAGUCA
rnacentral:tRNA from 1 species